rnacentral:rRNA from 1 species
AGUGAACGCUGGCGGUAGGCCUAACACAUGCAAGUCGAACGGCAGCACAGUAAGAGCUUGCUCUUACGGGUGGCGAGUGGCGGACGGGUGAGGAAUACAUCGGAAUCUACUUUUUCGUGGGGGAUAACGUAGGGCAACUUACGCUAAUACCGCAUACGACCUACGGGUGAAAGCAGGGGAUCUUCGGACCUUGCGCGAUUGAAUGAGCUGAUGUCGGAUUAGCUAGUUGGCGGGGUAAAGGCCCACCAAGGCGACGAUCCGUAGCUGGUCUGAGAGGAUGAUCAGCCACACUGGAACUGAGACACGGUCCAGACUCCUACGGGAGGCAGCAGUGGGGAAUAUUGCGCAAUGGGCGCAAGCCUGACCGAGCAAUGCCGCGUGAGUGAUGAAGGUCUUCGGGUUGUAAAGCCCUUUUAUUGGGAAAGAACAGAUGUGGAUGAAUCUCCGCAUGUCUUGACGGUACCUAAAGAGAAAGCCCCGGCUAACUUCGUG